GUCACGGCUCACCAAGGCGAUGACGGGUAGCCGGUCUGAGAGGAUGUCCGGCCACACUGGAACUGAGACACGGUCCAGACACCUACGGGUGGCAGCAGUCGAGAAUCAUUCACAAUGGGGGCAACCCUGAUGGUGCGACGCCGCGUGGGGGAAUGAAGGUCUUCGGAUUGUAAACCCCUGUCAUGUGGGAGCAAAUUAAAAAGAUAGUACCACAAGAGGAAGAGACGGCUAACUCUGUGCCAGCAGCCGCGGUAAUACAGAGGUCUCAAGCGUUGUUCGGAAUCACUGGGCGUAAAGCGUGCGUAGGCUGUUUCGUAAGUCGUGUGUGAAAGGCAGGGGCUCAACCCCUGGAUUGCACAUGAUACUGCGAGACUAGAGUAAUGGAGGGGGAACCGGAAUUCUCGGUGUAGCAGUGAAAUGCGUAGAUAUCGAGAGGAACACUCGUGGCGAAGGCGGGUUCCUGGACAUUAACUGACGCUGAGGCACGAAGGCCAGGGGAGCGAAAGGGAUUAGAUACCCCUGUAGUCCUGGCAGUAAACGGUGCACGCUUGGUGUGCGGGGAAUCGACCCCCUGCGUGCCGGAGCUAACGCGUUAAGCGUGCCGCCUGGGGAGUACGGUCGCAAGAUUAAAACUCAAAGAAAUUGACGGGGACCCGCACAAGCGGUGGAGUAUGUGGCUUAAUUCGAUGCAACGCGAAGAACCUUACCUGGGCUUGACAUGUAAUGAACAACAUGUGAAAGCAUGCGACUCUUCGGAGGCGUUACACAGGUGCUGCAUGGCCGUCGUCAGCUCGUGUCGUGAGAUGUUUGGUUAAGUCCAGCAACGAGCGCAACCCCUGUUGCCAGUUACCAGCACGUCAAGGUGGGGACUCUGGCGAGACUGCCCAGAUCAACUGGGAGGAAGGUGGGGACGACGUCAGGUCAGUAUGGCCCUUAUGCCCAGGGCUGCACACGUACUACAAUGCCCAGUACAGAGGGGGCCGAAGCCGCGAGGCGGAGGAAAUCCUGAAAACUGGGCCCAGUUCGGACUGUAGGCUGCAACCCGCCUACACGAAGCCGGAAUCGCUAGUAAUGGCGCAUCAGCUACGGCGCCGUGAAUACGUUCCCGGGUCUUGUACACACCGCCCGUCACAUCAUGGAAGCCGGUCGCACCCGAAGUAUCUGAAGCCAACCGCAAGGAGGCAGGGUCCUAAGGUGAGACUGGUAACUGGGAUGAAGUCGUAACAAGGUAGCCGUAGGGGAACCUGCGGCUGGAUCACCUCCUUUCUAUGGA
rnacentral:rRNA from 1 species